GGCAAGAUGGCCGAGUGGUCUAAGGCGCUGUGUUCAGGAAAAAGUUCUACAGGAGAAUUCAUCUCCAUCGCAGUCUUCGGGCGUGGGUUCGAAUCCCACUCUUGUCA
rfam:Pseudozyma brasiliensis GHG001 unplaced genomic scaffold PSETBRA_SCAF3, whole genome shotgun sequence.